rnacentral:rRNA from 1 species
GCUUGGCAGUAAAAGGCUGAAAAUUACUAUCCGCCCGCCAGAUUAUUACAAGUAAAAACUUAAAACUCAAAGGACUUGACGGUGUCUCACACUCAACCUAGAGGAGCCUGUCCCAUAAUCGAUGAUCCACGAUAGACCCAACCGCUUCUUGCCAAACAACCUAUAUACCGCCGUCGAAAGCUCACCUUUUGAAAGGAUAAAAGUGAACACAACAAUCUUACACUAAAACGUCAGGUCAAGGUGUAGUUUAUGAAGCGGACGGAGAUGGGCUACAUUUCCUUUAUAAGGAAACACGGAUGGCACAUUGAAAAUAUAAGCCAGAAGGAGGAUUUAGUAGUAAAAUCGGAUUAGAAAGCCAAUUUGAACACACUGCCCUGAGACGCGU